GCUCAGAUUGAACGCUGGCGGCAGGCCUAACACAUGCAAGUCGAACGGUAACAGGAAGCAGCUUGCUGCUUYGCUGACGAGUGGCGGACGGGUGAGUAAUGUCUGGGAAACUGCCUGAUGGAGGGGGAUAACUACUGGAAACGGUGGCUAAUACCGCAUAACGUCGCAAGACCAAAGAGGGGGACCUUCGGGCCUCUUGCCAUCAGAUGUGCCCAGAUGGGAUUAGCUUGUUGGUGAGGUAACGGCUCACCAAGGCGACGAUCCCUAGCUGGUCUGAGAGGAUGACCAGCCACACUGGAACUGAGACACGGUCCAGACUCCUACGGGAGGCAGCAGUGGGGAAUAUUGCACAAUGGGCGCAAGCCUGAUGCAGCCAUGCCGCGUGUAUGAAGAAGGCCUUCGGGUUGUAAAGUACUUUCAGCGGGGAGGAAGGUGUUGUGGUUAA
rnacentral:rRNA from 1 species